UACGUAGGUGGCAAGCGUUGUCCGGAUUUAUUGGGUUUAAAGGGUGCGUAGGCGGCUUUGUAAGUCAGUGGUGAAAUAUGGCAGCUCAACUGUCAAGGUGCCAUUGAUACUGCGGAGCUUGAGUACAGAUGAGGUAGGCGGAAUUGACGGUGUAGCGGUGAAAUGCUUAGAUAUCGUCAAGAACACCUAUAGCGAAGGCAGCUUACUAGGCUGUAACUGACGCUGAGGCACGAAAGCCAGGGGAGCGAACGGG
rnacentral:rRNA from 1 species